AACGAACGCUGGCGGCAGGCCUAACACAUGCAAGUCGAGCGCUCUAGCAAUAGAGAGCGGCGCACGGGUGAGUAACGCGUAGGAAUCUACCUUGUAGUACGGAACAACAGUUGGAAACGACUGCUAAUACCGUAUACGCCCUUCGGGGGAAAGAAUUUCGCUAUAAGAUGAGCCUGCGUUAGAUUAGCUAGUUGGUGAGGUAAUGGCUAACCAAGGCUCCGAUCUAUAGCUGGUCUGAGAGGAUGAUCAGCCACACUGGGACUGAGACACGGCCCAGACUCCUACGGGAGGCAGCAGUGGGGAAUGUUGGGCAAUGAGCGAAAGCCUGACCCAGCCAUGCCGCGUGAGUGAUGACGGCCUUAGGGUUGUAAAGCUCUUUUAGUGGUGAGGAUGAUGACGGUAACCACAGAAAAAGCCCCGGCUAACUUCGUGCCAGCCGCCGCAGUAA
rnacentral:rRNA from 1 species